AAGAACUAAAACUGAUGAGACCCUCCCAUUUGAUCAUACUAUAUAUAUAGAUAAUAAUGUGAUUUGGGUCACCCAUCUCAACGAACCAAUGUGAAUGCGAUGGGGAUUGUUGCUUGGUAGACACACUCUCGUAAAGGAAUUAUAGGAGGAAGAGUUCUCAAAUGGAACAAAAACCGGCAAGUGACAUUGGCUCCCUAUGUUUUAUAAGCAUACAUUCCUCUACUCCCAUCAAGGUUUUUGGUUCCAAUAUACAACAGCCUACAUCUACUGUUGAAACCUUCCCGGGGCUCGCGGUGAUGUUUAUUUCUCAUCCAACCUAUUAACGAGGUCACAAAGACAGAAAUCAAGGGAAAACACAAAUAUCAACUUUAUCUAAAACUUCUUUAGCCCCCACAAAAUUUUCAACGGUACGCAUUCAAUUCCCACUGUUUCCUGUGGUGUGGUUCGCUUGAGCUUUGGAUAGGGUUUCAGUUAUAGGCUCAUAUCCUAAAACAAGUUGGUGAUUAAAUGGACGGAUGGUGUGGAUAAGACACUAACAUCACAGUGCUUGAUUAUCAUUGAUGACAUUUAAAGAGUUCUAUUUUUUUUUUUUCAAAUUAUUGUCCUUUGAAAUUAAAAUUUAAUUCUAGAGCUAAUUUUCACUUUUGACAAUUUAGAAUUUGGCCAAAAAUUUAAUUUCUAAUUUUAAGCCAUUUACAAUUCUUUGUAAAAAACUACUUUUCAUAUUCUUAGAGAUUAUUUAAAUUUCAAGGUGUUAAACACAACUUGACACACUGAAAUUCUCAAGAAUCCAAUUACUAUAGAUGUACAUUCUUCAAAUUUCAAGUGUCAAAACCACCUAUAAAUUCCUUUGAAGACAUUUCUAACCUCACUUCCAUCUUUUUCUACCUUUUUAAGCUUGCUUCUUAAAGGUGCCGUAGAAGAAGAAGAAGAAGCAGGAACAUCAGGAUGGGAGAUUACUAAGGCAUGACUUGAAGAAAGGUGAUAUCUAUCAUCUAGCGGCAAUCCCAAAUUCCUUACACUUAUCAUCUAUGUCUCAUCAUCCAACAAUAUGUAUGGUUCAUUGUGUGCUUUCUCACUUUUAACUUCCUUUCUCCUUUAAAUAUGUGAACAUUAGUUUAGCCAAUAAACCUUUGGAAUUUGUACUUUCUAAUCUAGUGACAAGCUCUGUUUCCCUAUUAGAUACAUUUCAUUGAUGAUGUUAGUACAUUUUCUUGGGAAGGCGCUUUUAUUUUAUUUUAUGGUAAAGCAUUUCAUUGAUGA